rfam:Daphnia magna strain Xinb3 contig28511, whole genome shotgun sequence.
CAAUCGGCCCUUUUCAGGGCCACCAUAUUUAAGGAAAAUGAAAUAU